rnacentral:rRNA from 1 species
CCUACGGUGGCUGCAGUGGGGAAUAUUGGACAAUGGGCGAAAGCCUGAUCCAGCCAUGCCGCGUGUGUGAUGAAGGCCUUCGGGUUGUAAAGCACUUUCAGUGGGGAAGAAAGCCUUGGGGCUAAUACCCUCGAGGAAGGACAUCACCCACAGAAGAAGCACCGGCUAACUCCGUGCCAGCAGCCGCGGUAAUACGGAGGGUGCGAGCGUUAAUCGGAAUUACUGGGCGUAAAGCGCGCGUAGGCGGUCUGAUAAGCCGGUUGUGAAAGCCCCGGGCUCAACCUGGGAACGGCAUCCGGAACUGUCAGGCUAGAGUGCAGGAGAGGAAGGUAGAAUUCCCGGUGUAGCGGUGAAAUGCGUAGAGAUCGGGAGGAAUACCAGUGGCGAAGGCGGCCUUCUGGACUGACACUGACGCUGAGGUGCGAAAGCGUGGGUAGCAAACAGGAUUAGAUACCCCGGUAGUC